rnacentral:lncRNA from 1 species
UAAGCACACGUCGAACCGCCAAAAAAAGAACGACACUUUGCUCCUAACACCGCAGCAGAAGCAGGAUUUUGGUUGUUGUUCAUGUUCUAUUUUGCUUUCAAUCAAAUAUUAUUGCCAAUGAAUUCUGGUAAAGCUGGAGUUUUGUGUCUGUGGAAACACUUUCGUUGUUGGUAGAGUUAUAAUUACUGUUGUUAUUGGAGAGUUUUCGGUCGAGGAACUGGAUCAUGUAAUCUAGGCGUUUAGUGGAGGCUUCCAGGGAGGGAUUGGGAUUGUAAGCCGGGUUGGAUCAUGUAAUCUACUCUCUUGAGUAGAUUUUUGUGUUUAUGGUUUGAGUGUGACUUUUAUAUGUUGAAAUGGGUAUGAACUCAGUAAUGGUGAGCGGAGAAAUUGAGGAUUUUUGGAGUUACUUUGUUGCAUUCUAAUUUGAGGCUUGAAACUCUAUAUAGCUACUUUGUAAAGUUUGUUUCUUGGACUAAAUGUUUUGAUACUUUUGUGUAAUUUGGAUGUGUUGGGAUAGAAUAGCCUACAUAUUAUUGUUGGUAUGUCAAUUGGAGGAUUGAAAAAUUAUAAAGCUCACAUUUUUUGUAUUUAUGGAUUUAUAUGUGAAAGAGAGCUGGGAGACAGUGGAUCAUCUAUCAAUCCGGUUUCUUAAUAUUUGGGAGAUUCAGCCUUCGAUCUCUCUUUUUUUCUGACAAUAUUUAGGUUCGGACAAUUAUUGAUUAGUUUCCCCGCCACAGAUCAUUGUGUAAAGCGAAGUGAGGUGUACUAAUAAUUGCAUGAUUGUACGAGGGUAGCACCGCACCCUAUAGAUCAGUUUGCAGGGGAAAUGAAUACUAAAACUUUCUAAGGGAGCGUUGCACUCUUAGUCAACUACUAGACCAGAAUGUUGAGGAGAGCCUACUCCUAGAUCUGAGUCUAAUGUCUGGGGAGGA